rnacentral:rRNA from 1 species
UGGGGAAUAUUGGACAAUGGGGGGAACCCUGAUCCAGCCAUGCCGCGUGUGUGAAGAAGGCCUUAUGGUUGUAAAGCACUUUAAGCGAGGAGGAGGGUACUGGUAUUAAUACUACCAGGUACUGGACGUUACUCGCAGAAUAAGCACCGGCUAACUCUGUGCCAGCAGCCGCGGUAAUACAGAGGGUGCGAGCGUUAAUCGGAUUUACUGGGCGUAAAGCGUGCGUAGGCGGCUAAUUGAGUCGGAUGUGAAAUCCCCGAGCUUAACUUGGGAAUUGCAUUCGAUACUGGUUAGCUAGAGUGUGGGAGAGGAUGGUAGAAUUCCAGGUGUAGCGUUGAAAUGCGUAGAUAUAGGAAGGAACACCAGUGGCGAAGGCGACCACCUGGGCUCAUACUGAAACUGAGGUGCGAAAGCGUGGGGAGCAAACAGG